CGGGCCGGGAGGACCAGGCACCGCGACCACGACGCAACGCGGACACGCCGACGGUGCGUCGCAACACGGUGGGCCUUUGCAAGACAAGACCGAGGCACGACGCAUCGCUUCGAAUCCCAGAUCGCGCGUGCUGCCUCGUGCGUUUUUUUCUUCUUAUUCUCUUCUUGCUCUGUCUCUUGACCUGGCUCGCUCUGUGUUGGUGUCGUUGUUGUUGUCGGCUUCUUCUCUGCUCGCCGUGACGGCCGAUGCCGUUUCCUGUAGGGCCAGCAAAUAGAGGCCUCCGCAG
rnacentral:lncRNA from 1 species